CGGUCGCAGAGUUAUGGAGGCAACGGUGGCCGGGAGGGGCCAAAAGCGAGGCGCGGGAAUGCCAAAAUCAGACCAAGAGGAUUUGACCUAGGAGGACUUGAAGAAGAUAAGCUGGAUGCUCACCUCUCCCAACUGCGACCCACAGAAUACUGCACUAGAGAAAGUGAAAAGUUACACAUCCUCCUGUGACGUGGACUGACUGCCAUGAGUUAGUAUGGACUUAGUAAAUGGUGAGAGCUGCUACCUAAGUACUGCCAGGAAGAGAUGGCUAAACGUCAGUAAUUUUAAAACAUCAUGCUUU